rnacentral:tRNA from 1 species
AUUCCUUGGGAGAAAACGUU